UACGUAGGGGGCAAGCGUUGUCCGGAUUUAUUGGGCGUAAAGAGCGUGUAGGCGGCUAGGUAGGUCCGUUGUGAAAACUCGAGGUUCAACCUCGAGCUGUCGAUGGAAACCAUCUGGCUAGAGUCCGGAAGAGGAGAGUGGAAUUCCUGGUGUAGCGGUGAAAUGCGCAGAUAUCAGGAAGAACACCCGUGGCGAAGGCGGCUCUCUGGUACGUGACUGACGCUGAGACGCGAAAGCGUGGGGAGCGAACAGG
rnacentral:rRNA from 1 species